GACGAACCGUCCAAACGUUAUUCGGAAUUACUGGGCUUAAAGGGUGCGUAGGCGGCGCGGAAAGUUGGGUGUGAAAUCCCUCGGCUCAACCGAGGAACUGCGCUCAAUACUACCGUGCUCGAGGGAGAUAGAGGUGAGCGGAACUUAGGGUGGAGCGGUGAAGUGCGUUGAUAUCCUAAGGAACACCGGUGGCGAAAGCGGCUCACUGGAUCUCUUCUGACGCUGAGGCACGAAAGCUAGGGUAGCGAACGGG
rnacentral:rRNA from 1 species